CGUAGAAAAGGGCAAGUUAGUUGAAAGGCUAAUACGCAAAGCUACGGCCUAAGUUCCUUGUGUUAAAGGAAUAUGGUGGCAGGGUUACCUAC
rnacentral:ncRNA from 1 species